rnacentral:rRNA from 1 species
GACGAACGCUGGCGGCGUGCUUAACACAUGCAAGUCGAACGGAAAGGCCCUGCUUUUGUGGGGUGCUCGAGUGGCGAACGGGUGAGUAACACGUGAGUAACCUGCCCUUGACUUUGGGAUAACUUCAGGAAACUGGGGCUAAUACCGGAUAGGAGCUCCUGCUGCAUGGUGGGGGUUGGAAAGUUUCGGCGGUUGGGUAUGGACUCGCGGCUUAUCAGCUUGUUGGUGGGGUAGUGGCUUACCAAGGCUUUGACGGGUAGCCGGCCUGAGAGGGUGACCGGCCACAUUGGGACUGAGAUACGGCCCAGACGCCUACGGGAGGCAGCAGUGGGGAAUAUUGCACAAUGGGCGGAAGCCUGAUGCAGCAACGCCGCGUGCGGGAUGACGGCCUUCGGGUUGUAAACCGCUUUCGCCUGUGACGAAGCGUGAGUGACGGUAAUGGGUAAAGAAGCACCGGCUAACUACGUG